rnacentral:rRNA from 1 species
CAGUCAUACCAACGGGAAAUCAACCUUUUGAGCUCGGUCUCGUGGGUUUUGAAGAGUUUCAAAGCCUUCGGAUUCGCGGGAUUGGGAUCUCUUGGUGUACUUUUUCGUACGGUUAGUCAACAUCGGUUUUGAAUGUCAUAAAAUGAUUGGAGGAAUGUAGCUUUGAUCUCGUAUCGAAGUGUUAUAGACUCUGGUAGAUGUGACGGUUGGGAUUGAGGAUUGCAACGGAUACCCCCGUUGGGGCCUACCCGUCUGAUCUC